rnacentral:rRNA from 1 species
AUGGCCUUUCCGGCGACCCCUACCGUACUACUGAUGGUACGGCCAUUGCGUGUCGCUGUUGCCCGCCACUGCUACGUUGAUGCUGCUCGCCGCCGGUGCGUGCUGCUAUUGUUGCUGCUCCUCCCUAUUGCGUGUUGCUGCUGCUCGUCGCCGGUCCGCGCUGCUGCUGCUUGUCGACCAAGGAUCUCUCUAGUUAAUCAAGUCUUCCUAAGGGAGAAGGACCUCAUCGUAGAUCGCCAAGACCUCCUAACCGAGAAGGAUUUCCAGGGAAAUGGCGCCACCACCACCACCACCAUGUCGAUGGUGCAAGUCAAGAUCGUCCCAUGCAAUGUGAGGUCAGAAUUCAACAAUCUGACCGGAGACUCUGUGACCUUUGAGGCUCCUGGGGGCCCCUACACUAUGGAGAUCGAGAAAGUACGAAAGAUGACGCAGGUGGGAGGAGAUGGAUGGGUCCGUUUCAUUGCCCACAUGCGUAUCACCGGUGGUGAGUUGACCAGCUUCUCCUUCAGAGCUAAAAGACCCAAGCUGGCCGUGAUUUAUGUCAACAAAGCAGAAGAUUAUGAGGGUGAUGAGGAUGAUGAGGAUGAUGACGACCCACUCGGUGAUGCCAUCGUAGCUCAGAGAAUGAAGUUGAGCGAGGAGGAGGUGUGCAACCUAUGGGACAUCAUUCCGCCAGGUGCUGACUUCGUCGGGGUGCCAUUCCUGACCCGCCUGACAAGUACCAUGGUUGAUCGGCAUAUCAUGAAAUUGCCAAAGAGCCUAUUUGAGAGUUGUGGUAUCAAGCCUGAUGAAGAAAGCUCUGCUGGAAUACGCCUUACUGCAAGGGGCUCCGUCGCCACUUGUGCGUACGGCGUGGACACGGACGGUCGCACACACUUCAACUCGGUUGGGUGGAAGAGCUUCCUCGUCGGCAAGAAUCUUCAUGUUGGAUAG